AAGAGGCGGAGGCGGUGGCUGGUUUCCUUGUGGCUGGCGCGCCCGGGAUGGGGCGUUUGGAAGGAAAAUGCUUUUGAUGACGGAUAACACGAGAUAAUCUUAAAAUGGUAGUAGCUAGUUGGAGAGCUGGAAGAACCAGUAGCUGUGAAGUCCAAGAGGCAGAGGCCCCAGAAUA